rnacentral:RNase_P_RNA from 1 species
GGUCGCUGCCGCAAGGCAGAGGAAAGUCCGGACUCCACAGGGCGGAGGAUCCGUUCGUCAAGGACGGAAGGCGCGGGGCAAUCCCGCGCGAUGGAAAGUGCCACAGAGAAUAGACAGCGGAGCAUUCGAGCUCCGUCAUGGUGAAAAGGCGGUGUAAGAGACCACCGGCGCGGCUGAAACGACGCGCGCAGGGCAAACCCUCCUCGGAGCAAGAUCAAAUAGGGAGCCGAACGCGCGGCCCGCGCGGCUGGGCCCGAAAGGGCGCAUGAGGUUCCGGGUUGAUUGCUGAGAUGAAUGAUCGGAGUUCCCGCAAGGGAAUGAACAGAAUCUGGCUUAUUCGCCG